rnacentral:rRNA from 1 species
AGCAGUAUUGAGCUGAAGAGUUUGAUCAUGGCUCAGAUUGAACGCUGGCGGCAGGCCUAACACAUGCAAGUCGAGCGGAUGAAGGGAGCUUGCUCCUGGAUUCAGCGGCGGACGGGUGAGUAAUGCCUAGGAAUCUGCCUGGUAGUGGGGGAUAACGUCCGGAAAC